rnacentral:tRNA from 1 species
GCUAGCGUAGCUUAAUCAAAGC